UAACGUAGCGAAAGUUACGCUAAUACGCAUAUUCUGUGAGCAGGAAGCAGGGACCGCAAGGCCUUGCGCUCUUUGAGCGGCCGAUGUCAGAUUAGCUAGUUGGUGAGGUAAAAGGCUUACCAAGGCGACGAUCUGUAGCGGGGUCUGAGAGGAUGAUCCGCCACACUGGAACUGAGACACGGUCCAGACUCCUACGGGAGGCAGCAGUGGGGAAUUUUGGACAAUGGGCGCAAGCCUGAUCCAGCCAUGCCGCGUGAGUGAAGAAGGCCUUCGGGUUGUAAAGCUCUUUCGGCCGGGAAGAAAUCGCAUGGGUUAAUACCCUGUGUGGAUGACGGUACCGGAAUAAGAAGCACCGGCUAACUACGUG
rnacentral:rRNA from 1 species